AAGGUUCCCAGAGACCACCAGAGACCACCAAGAGUCCAAUUCAGAUGCAAAAGCAAAGAAUCUUUAUUCAAGCUCUGACCCUUCAACCUCUCCAGCGCAAUGGAAGGUACAGCAUUUGGAGGCUCUGAAUUGUAGGGGCGAUUCACUACAUCACAUUACAUACGCUGGUAGGGUGGUCCUACAAGUCACUGAUUCUAAGCAGGGCUCAAGAGAUGGACAGUGGCUUGGACAGUCCUGAAUAAAGUGGUGGCAGCUGUGAAUGAAGGAGAUGCGGGGCAGCCUCAGGACAAGGAGGCUUGUGAAACCCAGAAGAGUUACUCUGUUGCUACUUGUGAGAUUCAGGAGGAAUUACUGUGUUGUUACUUGUGAAAUCCAGAAGGAAUUCCGUUGUUGCUACUGAUGAGAUACACGUUACUCUGUUGCUACUCUUAAAUCCAGAAGGAGUUACUCUGUUGCUAUUUCAGGUCCUUACACAAAGGAGCAUUCCAGGAUUAAAACUUUUAUAAACCUGUAUUUCUAACCCACAACAACAUUCAAACCUAAAAAUGAGCCACAAGCCAUCAGGCAGAUUCUUAA
rnacentral:sRNA from 1 species